rnacentral:misc_RNA from 1 species
GAUGAAGAACGUAGCGAAAUGCGAUAAGUAAUGUGAAUUGCAGAAUUCAGUGAAUCAUCGAAUCUUUGAACGCACAUUGCGCCCGCGAGUAUUCUCGCGGGCAUGCCUGUCCGAGCGUCAUUUCAACCCUCAGGGCCCGCCUGCUUGCAGGCGCGGCGCUGGUGUUGGGGAUCGGCUACCCUGCCGUCCCCCAAAUACAGUGGCGGUCUCGCUGCAGCCUCCCCUGCGUAGUAGCAACACUCGCAUGCGGAGCGCGGCGCGGCCACGCCGUAAAACCCCCGACUUUCUGAACGUUGACCUCGGAUCAGGUAGGAAUACCCGCUGAACUUUAGCAUAUCAAUAAGCGGAGGA